AGCUAGCUUUUGGGUUAAGUU
rnacentral:snRNA from 1 species